rnacentral:lncRNA from 1 species
CUUCCAACACCAUGUUCACCACCACCAAUCAAUCUUUAUAUAUCAUGAGUUGCAGAACCUUUUACCAUUAACUUUUUCUCACCAUGGAUUCUGAAAUACUCCUUAUAUUUUCCUUUCUCCUCUGCAUCAUUGUGGCACUCAAACUAGGGAGAAACCUCAAGAAAAUAAGCAAGUCAUCAUCACUAAACAUACCCCCUGGACCAUGGAAGCUUCCUGUUAUAGGAAACUUGCACCAUCUUGUUUCAUCCACACCACACCGAAAACUAAGAGACUUAGCCAAAAUAUACGGACCCAUGAUGCAUCUCCAGCUAGGAGAGAUCUUCAUUAUCGUUGUUUCCUCAGCAGAGUACGCCAAAGAGAUCAUGAAAACACAUGAUGCAACCUUUGCAUCGAGACCUCAACUUCUGGCAGCAGAUAUAGCUACUUAUGGAUACACAAACAUUGCUUUUGCACCUUACGGAAGUUACUGGAAAAAGGUACGAAAAAUCUGUUCUGUCCCCAAAACGUGUCAGUUCAUUCCAACCGAUCAGAGAAGAAGAACUCAACAAUCUGGUUCAAAUUGUUAGUUCACAUGUUGGAGGGUCCCCCAUCAACCUCACUGAAGCAGUGUCCUCAUCAAUGUAUAACAUCAUUUCAAGGGCUGCUCUGGGGCAGAAGCGCACCAAAGACCACAAUGAGUUCUUCUGGCUCCAGGAGUGAAAUCAGUUGUGAAAGAAACCCUAAGGUUACACCCACCAGGAGUUCUUCUGGCUCCAAGAGAAUAUGCAGAGACAUGUGAGAUUGAUGGGUAUGAGAUACCAGUGAAAAGUAAGAUAUUGAUAAAUGCCUGAGCAAUUGGGAGAGACCCAAAGUACUGGAAUGAAGCAGAGAGGUUUUAUCCAGAGAGAUUCAUUGGCAGUUCCAUUGAUCUUAAAGGGAAUCAUUUUGAGUUCAUUCCCUUUGGUGCUGGAAGAAGAAUCUGUCCUGGCAUUUCCUUUGGCUUGCUAAAUGUUGAACUCACUCUUGCUGUUUUGUUGUUUCACUUUGAUUGGAACCUUCCUGAAGGAAUCAAAAGUGAAGACUUUGACAUGACUGAGAAAUUUGGAAUCACUGUUGGAUUAAAGAAUGAAAUUUUCUUGAUACCUCUCACUGCUGGUAAGAUAUAUUUCUUUGCUAAAUCAUAUUAUCUCAACCAUCAUAAUCUCACUCUUAACUAAAUAAAGUUAACGUAUAUUAUCUAAUCAAGUUAAACAUUAUAAGAAAAAAUUAUAUAUAAAAUAAAACAUUAUCUAAUGUCACUGUUGAUGUUUUAAAAGGGAAGUGAUGCAAAGAAAGAUGAGCGAGGAAGAAGAUUUCCACACAUCUUUGUUGAAAAGUGAAUAUGCCUCAGUGUUUCAGUUCGUGAAUAAUGAAUAAUUGAUCAGCAGAUCAAGUCUUUCAAAACUGUUACUGUAAUAUUUUUAUGUUAUGUUUCUUUUCUCAAGUAUUGAAUUGUAAGUUUCCUUUCUUUUUUUUUUUUCAGCAUGCUUAAUGUAAAGAACAUUAAUAAAUGUGUUAUUGCAGUUAUAAUUUCAACUUUAUGUUUCUCUGUCUUUUAUGAAUGGCUUAUUUAGUCACUUCCAUAACGGGUAGCUAUAAAAUUGAAAAAUUUGUUUAAUUUUUUUAUUAUUGUUAUUACUACUAUUAUUAUAAUUAUCAUUUUUUAAAUUUUGUUAUACUAUUUUAGACCUUUUUAUUUAAUUAUUUUUUUUAUAAAAAAUAGUUGAUAUAUAUAUAUAUAUAUAUAUAAUAUUUAUUCGUGAAAUUUAUAAUAAAACUGUUUUAACACUUUUUCAGGAAUUAUUUUUAACGUUAUCAACGAUUUUUAAUCCCUGAAAAAUAUGUUUUCUACUAUUGUAAAAACCUUUGAAAAAAGUAGCACUGUUAAAUAGUUACAUAAUUAAAUAAUUGCCAACCAUUUUUUGUUAAAUCGCCUCUAUUUUUAGUAUAGAUGUUAAAAUGAGUCAUAAUUUGUGGAUCAAUUCGGUUCAUCACGGGUUCGGGCUGAAUUAGAUUUUAAAAAAUUAUAUUUUUUUUUAUGCGAGUCAGAUUUCAACUCAGCUCAUUUAAACUCGGUUCUUCCGAGUUGAACCCGUGGUGGACCGGGUUGGCCCACCAACCCACCUACCUAAUUUUAUUUUAUUAAAAUUUAAUUUAAAUUUUAUAAAAAAAUAUUUAUUAUUCUUUUUGCUUGAAAAAAUUAUUUAAUUUUCUUGUUUUCAAAACUAUUUAAAAUUGGUUUAGAUUUGAAUUAUAGAAAGUUCGUAAUUCUUUUUUAUUUUAAAAAGAUUGUAAUUAAGUGAGUUAGUGAGUCAACCUGUUUACCUAUCAACCUGUGAUGGGUCGAGCCGUAUUUGAAUAUUUUUGACUCGUUAAUAAAUGAGUCAGGUUGGAUUGACUCACUAAGUGAUCAACCAUGGUAGGUCGGAUCAGGUGAUCCGUUUUGACAACACUAAUUUCUAGGGAUUUUUGGAAAAUCCUUGAAACUCAACCGGGUUUGACAAAACCGCCCCUAACCGUCGAAAAUGUAUACAGAUUAAUUUUUUUUAUAGUGUUGAAAUUGGAUUAUGAUAAAAUUGGUUUUAAUAUCAAUAUAUACAAUCAAGACAUAAAACAAUGUUAGCACUUAAUGAAUGAGAUGACAAUUGCAUAUCCAACGAAUAUACUAUAAAGGAAAAUUGUCCCACAUGUACACAUGUAACAGCCCAUAAAAACUUCUUUUGAAAAUCAUUUCAUCAGUCCAAAACUUAUACAAUUGAGAAAGUAUGAGACAAUUGCAAGUGGCCGUGCAUUAAGAGAGAAAGGCUUUCAAAUGAAUAAACAAACAACACGGAGUGUCCCACCUUGUCUGCCACAAAUAUGUUUUCUUAGAAAUUAAUUGUUUCAGCCUCACAAUGAAACAGCCAACACCUUAAUAUUCAAAAUUUGCAUAGUCAUUCACAGAAAGCAAUCGUGCAUUCAUAAAAUGUAUUGACCACCAAACUUUCCCUUCUCUCACAAACUCAAACCAACAAUGCUCAUACGAAAAUACACCAUCAAUUCAACAUCAUCUAGCUCACAUUUACAUGUCAAGAUGUUAAUUUCAACAAAGUUCUCUCAUACCUGGUUCGAAUCCUUCUCAGAUUAAACCCUCGACCCAAAAUCCUUCAAUCGCCUAUAGUUCUUCGCUCAACCUCUGCGCUCUCUCGUGCUCACGUGAGGCAAAGCAGACCUCACCUUCACCCUCCUAACCAACCACGAAAUAGACGGGAGAAAGGCGUUUCUAGGGCACAAAAAUAACGAAGGAGAGAAGAGAAGGAAGGAUGCCGAAAAAUGACAAAGGAGAAGAAACGAACCACGAUGAACGCCGGAGAAACCACGGAGAACGCCGAAGAAGAAAUGGACAACGCCGGAAAAGGAAUGGAGAAUGCCAAGAUGGAGGAGAACCAAAGGAGAAUAAUAAAUGUAGUGAGAACGUAAAUCACAGAACGCUUAGAAGAAAAGAGAAAAUGCACGGCGCGAAACCUAAAUCCUGAAUAUACACAAUGAAAUAAAAAUAAAUCAUACUACUUAUUUAAACAAGCAUGGUCUAUUGGUUUUUCUAAAGACAUCGUUUUUUAAUAAAAAGUUAAUAAAAAUUAAUAAUAGAAUAGAUCACGCUUUUAUAGAAAAAUAAAUUAUUCAUUUGGUACCAUUAUAGACAGUAUUUUUUUUUUAAAAAAAACAGUAUCUGUUGUUUUGUGUUUUUUUUUUUUUAAAAACAGUAUCUAUUGUUUUGUAUUUUGAUAAAUAGCAUUUAUUUAAAUAAAUGCUAUCUAUUCAUUUUGUAAUAGUAUUUAUAAAAAUCAUCACGUUGUUCAUUUAAUUAAGUUGAAGUUGUUAUCACUCUAAAUCAUGACAACACAUGUUUUUAAGGAGUUACGAAAACAUUUAAAACAAAAAUAUUUGGGUUAAAUAGGUUUUUAGUCCUUAUACUUUGGAGCAUUUUGGUUUUAGUCUCUCUUUUAAACUAAAGUACAAUUUAGUCCUUCAACCUUAUAAAAUUCUGGUUUUAGUCCUUUUUAUCAAAUUUUUUUAACUUUAUUUGCUAUUUCAAGCAUGUUUCAUUAUAGCGUUUGGAUUGUUUACACUGUUUGACACAUUUUUUCUUCAAUGUUAACUGAGAAACGCGUUUAAAAUAGCAAAUAAAGUUAAAAAAAUUUGAUAAAAAGGACUAAAACCAGAGUUUUCUAAAGUUCAAGGACUAAAUUGUACCUUAGUUUGAAAGAGUGACUAAAACCAAAAUCGCCCCAAAGAUUAAGACUAAAAACAUAUUUAAUCCAAAAUAUUUUAUAAAAGAAUUUGUUAUACAUUUAUAUAUAUAUAUAUAUAUAUUAAACUUACACUUAAGCUAUAAUGCUUAAGUAAGAAAUAAGGAUUUGAAGUGGAGUUACCUUAUGAAAAAGUCAUUAAGCUAUCGUCACUUAAACGUAAACAUUUGUUUUAAAACAAGUUCGUUACUUAAGCGUAUAUUCAGUAGCACUUAAACAAUUACUUAAAAAGAAUGAAUUAAUGAGUUAAAUUAUUUUCAAAAUGUGUGUAUUAAUUUAUUUUAGAAAGUUGUAUAGUCUUAAGACAUAUUUAUUUAUUGAAAUAUAGGAAAAGAUGCAUACGCGAUUUAAAUUAUAAAAUUUCAUACUCUGCAAUCAAUUUUAACAUGCACAAAUUUAAAAUAAAGUAAAAACAUAAACUAAAAAAACUAAAAAUACUAUAAUAAACGAAAAAACAAACAACCUAAUUUACAUAAUUUACCGUCUCAUUAUGACCAAAAGUGUUAGUUUCCUUGAAGAUUGAGAAUUACAUCAAAUAUUACAUCUCUAGUCAAAUAUAGUUAAUAUAAAUAUAUCUGAAAAAAAUGCUUAUUUAUUAUUAUCUAUUAUUUAAUUACUUUAAUUCUUUGAAAAGAUACAUCGUUCGAAGACGAUAGAUAUGAUUUGUUUGAUAUGAGACUAAUUCUAUUGAAACAUUCUGAUUACUUAUUUUGUUGUAGAUUGGUUUAAUUCUAACUUUGUGUUGUAUAUUUGAUAUGAAUAGACCUCUUUGCACUAGUGCAAAAAUGUUGUUCAACGUCACUCAUAAGACGUCGAUUUGCGUGUAAUUCGAUGUAUAGAGCGGACGGUGACAUUAUUGUAAAUAGUCUGCUAAACUAGACGUCUGUUUUUGGAUAAAACCGACGUCUAUUAAUUUCAAGACGUCAGCACUGUAGCACCCCGACGUCUACUGGGCUGCAUUUAAUGCUUUUCACCUAAUUCUCAUGGGCUUAGACGUCACGUAGUCCAAAUCCGACGUCUAAGGCAUGUCUGGAAGGCGGGAAGACAAAAAAAUCUUCAAUGUUGACAUCGGCGUUUCAGUCUACGCGACGUCUAUAAUACCUGUAAUAAUUAUGUUUACAAAACUCGAGGGCCUGAGACGUCGGCUAUUUGGGCCCCCGACGUGUAUGUUAUUAUAGACGUCGGUGGCCCAUACCAACAGUCGUGAACAUCCCUGACAGGAUAUCAAACGUCAAUCGGUUCAGCUUCCUAGAUGUCGGUUCCCCCUGACAGAAACCGACGUCUAAUGGGUAUUCAAAAAGUCAGUUUUAAAUGUUCACUUGGACGUCACAUUAGUAGGAUAACCGACGUCUAUAGAUGUCGGUUUCUGAAGAAUAACCGACGCCCAAUUCCAUUUUAAAUAUACCACAACUCUUCGCGGCAUUUCAGUUUCUGAUAUCGAUCGUCUUCCUCUUCUCCUUUUUCUCUUGCCACACCUCUUCUUUUUCUCUCUUGCAUCCCAAGUGCGUGGUUUUUUUUUUAUGUUUACAGUUUAAACUUUAUUUAGUCUUUCAUCUAUUAUCUUGUGGUUCAACUGAUGAAAAUUUGCUUUCUUUGUGUUGUGUUUUAGUGCAAUUUUGAUCCUCUCUUUGGGUAACAUAGUACAACAUUCUCCCUUUGCUAGUUUCCUCACAAGAAGAGUGACAAUCUUUUGAGUUUUUUAUGAUUUCUCGACCUAAAAUGCAACUUGGGUCCUUGUCUAGUUCUCGUGUCACCGUAAUUUUUUNUAUAUAUAUGUAUAUAUAUAUGUAUAUAUAUGUAUAUGUAUAUAUAUAUAUGUAUAUAUAUGUAUAUGUAUAUGUAUAUAUAUGUAUAUAUAUAUAUAUAUAUAUAUAUAUAUAUAUAUAUAUAUAUAUAUAUAUAUAUAUAUAUAUAUAUAUAUAUAUAUGUAUAUGUAUACAUAUACAUAUAUAUAUAUAUAUAUAUAGAGGGUGAAAUAUGUUUUUGGUCCCUUAAUUUUCACUGAAAAUUGGAAUUAGUUUCUCUUCAAAACUUUGGUCUAAUUUAGUUUUCCAACUUUAAAAACUUAUGAAUUUAGUCCUUUUAACUAAAUUUUGUUAGGUUUAUUUGAUGUUUCAAGCACGUUUCAUAAUAGCAUUUGGGUUGUUUACAUUGUUUGACACAUAUUUGCUUCAAUGUCAACUGAGAAAUGCGUUUGAAACAUAAAAUAAAGUUAACAAAAUUUGGUUAAAAGGACUAAAUUCAUACUUUUCUAAAGUUGGGGGACUAAAUUAGACCAAAAUUUUGAAGAGAGACUAAUUCAAAUUUUCACUAAAAGUUAAGGGACCAAAAACGUAUUUAACCCAUAUAUAUAUAUAUAUAUAUAUAUAUAUAUAUAUAUAUAUAUAUAUAUAUAUAUAUAUAUAUAUAUAGUGUACACCUGUUGUUCAGUUGGUGUGUUUUAACAAUGUGUACCGGAUUAUAGUAGACAAAAAUACCCUCAUAUAUCAUGGAUUCUAAGUUUUAAGGUCAAGGAUAUUUAAAUAAUUUUUCAUUCUCAAAACUAAAAUAAAAAACCCAAACCCUUACUCACCUCCCUCAUUCCUCUCAAUCCUUUCUCUUUCAUCUCUCUCACACUCUAACAUUUUCUUUGUCAUCUCUACUAUUGCCCCAAUUGAAAAAAAAAUCAGAAACCCUAUAGUUUUUUAUCUUCCACAGUGGUUAAAGUUUAUUCUAAAGGCCUGCAGAAGUUUAUUAAGUGAUAAAAACGAGACAUAAGGAAAUUAAAGAAAUGGGUAUAAAAGAGCUCCCUAGGAGUACAAUUAUUUCAAUUCUAGGUUGUAAUCUUACAUCAUGUAUACCAUACCAAAAGAGAAAGGAAAAAGAAACACUUUGUGUAAAGGGAAAAGGACAAUAGAGGGAAAUAUCUUGUUCUUUAAAAAUAUAAUGAAAUGUGAUGUAGAUGUGUAAAUGAUAUAUGAAAAUUUAAUUGAUUUAUGAAGGUUUUAUUUACAUGAUUUAAUUUAAAAAUGAAAUUUAAUAAUAAUAAAAAGGGAAAAUAUAUAACACAUCCUCCAAAUGAACGAACAGAACAAGAACAACAAAUUACGGUGGCGAGGGUUGUUGUGUGGUUGAGGGAGAGUAUGGAGAUGAGAGAAAAACAAAUUGGAUAAGUGAGGAAGGUGAAUUAGGGUUAGGCAAGGGUUUCUGUUUGUUUUUCAAUUCUGGCAACAGUAGGGAUGACAGAGAAAAUGUUGGAGUGAGAGAGAUGAAAGAGAAAGGGUUGAGAGAAAUAAGGGAGGUGAGUAAGGGUUUGGGGGUUUCUUUUUUUUUUUUAGUUUCGAGAAUGAAAAUUAUUUAAAUAUCUUUGACCUUAAAACUUAGAAUCCAUGAUAUAUGAGGGUAAUUUUGUUUACUAUAAUCCGGUACACAUUGUUAAAAUGUACCAACUGAAAAACAGGUGUACGCGCAUUACAAACCCUAUAAAAAAUAAAUUGAAUCAUACAUUAUACAUGCAUCUAUAUAGAAAGAGAAAUCGUGUCAACUUAUCCUUCUCAACUUUGCCUUAAUUAUACUAUGAAAAAAGUCUCUUUAACAACACUUUUUUGAUAAUUUUUUGAGAACACAUACAUAGGAGUGUAUGAUUGGUCCGUUUCAAAUAUUUUUUUAAACAUAAAUUCAAACAGACCAAUAAAAUGAUGACACGUGUCAUGUUGUAAAAAAAUUAUUAAAAAGAGUUGUAAAAAUAUCAUCAUCCACUUAUACUAUUGGUACCUAUUUUUUCUUCACAAUCUGACACCACUUUAUACUUAAAAUUGCCUUGACUUUAACUAGUGUGAUGUGAGACCUUGAAAAGUAUGCUUUACCAUUUGUGUUCAAAAUGAAUAUAUAUAUAUAUAUAUAUAUAUAUAUNUAUAUAUAUAUAUAUAUAUUAAACUUACACUUAAGCUAUAAUGCUUAAGUAAGAAAUAAGGAUUUGAAGUGGAGUUACCUUAUGAAAAAGUCAUUAAGCUAUCGUCACUUAAACGUAAACAUUUGUUUUAAAACAAGUUCGUUACUUAAGCGUAUAUUCAGUAGCACUUAAACAAUUACUUAAAAAGAAUGAAUUAAUGAGUUAAAUUAUUUUCAAAAUGUGUGUAUUAAUUUAUUUUAGAAAGUUGUAUAGUCUUAAGACAUAUUUAUUUAUUGAAAUAUAGGAAAAGAUGCAUACGCGAUUUAAAUUAUAAAAUUUCAUACUCUGCAAUCAAUUUUAACAUGCACAAAUUUAAAAUAAAGUAAAAACAUAAACUAAAAAAACUAAAAAUACUAUAAUAAACGAAAAAACAAACAACCUAAUUUACAUAAUUUACCGUCUCAUUAUGACCAAAAGUGUUAGUUUCCUUGAAGAUUGAGAAUUACAUCAAAUAUUACAUCUCUAGUCAAAUAUAGUUAAUAUAAAUAUAUCUGAAAAAAAUGCUUAUUUAUUAUUAUCUAUUAUUUAAUUACUUUAAUUCUUUGAAAAGAUACAUCGUUCGAAGACGAUAGAUAUGAUUUGUUUGAUAUGAGACUAAUUCUAUUGAAACAUUCUGAUUACUUAUUUUGUUGUAGAUUGGUUUAAUUCUAACUUUGUGUUGUAUAUUUGAUAUGAAUAGACCUCUUUGCACUAGUGCAAAAAUGUUGUUCAACGUCACUCAUAAGACGUCGAUUUGCGUGUAAUUCGAUGUAUAGAGCGGACGGUGACAUUAUUGUAAAUAGUCUGCUAAACUAGACGUCUGUUUUUGGAUAAAACCGACGUCUAUUAAUUUCAAGACGUCAGCACUGUAGCACCCCGACGUCUACUGGGCUGCAUUUAAUGCUUUUCACCUAAUUCUCAUGGGCUUAGACGUCACGUAGUCCAAAUCCGACGUCUAAGGCAUGUCUGGAAGGCGGGAAGACAAAAAAAUCUUCAAUGUUGACAUCGGCGUUUCAGUCUACGCGACGUCUAUAAUACCUGUAAUAAUUAUGUUUACAAAACUCGAGGGCCUGAGACGUCGGCUAUUUGGGCCCCCGACGUGUAUGUUAUUAUAGACGUCGGUGGCCCAUACCAACAGUCGUGAACAUCCCUGACAGGAUAUCAAACGUCAAUCGGUUCAGCUUCCUAGAUGUCGGUUCCCCCUGACAGAAACCGACGUCUAAUGGGUAUUCAAAAAGUCAGUUUUAAAUGUUCACUUGGACGUCACAUUAGUAGGAUAACCGACGUCUAUAGAUGUCGGUUUCUGAAGAAUAACCGACGCCCAAUUCCAUUUUAAAUAUACCACAACUCUUCGCGGCAUUUCAGUUUCUGAUAUCGAUCGUCUUCCUCUUCUCCUUUUUCUCUUGCCACACCUCUUCUUUUUCUCUCUUGCAUCCCAAGUGCGUGGUUUUUUUUUUAUGUUUACAGUUUAAACUUUAUUUAGUCUUUCAUCUAUUAUCUUGUGGUUCAACUGAUGAAAAUUUGCUUUCUUUGUGUUGUGUUUUAGUGCAAUUUUGAUCCUCUCUUUGGGUAACAUAGUACAACAUUCUCCCUUUGCUAGUUUCCUCACAAGAAGAGUGACAAUCUUUUGAGUUUUUUAUGAUUUCUCGACCUAAAAUGCAACUUGGGUCCUUGUCUAGUUCUCGUGUCACCGUAAUUUUUUUCUUUUGCGGUUGAAUAAUGGGAAGUAGUCAUGGACCCAGGUUCGGUUUUGGGUUGAAAUGUCAUAGAAGAUUCAAAAGACGCAAGCUUUUUUUUGUGGGGAAACUAGCGAGAGGAGAGUGUUGCACUAUGCUACCGAAAGUCUGGAUCAAAACUGUACUAAAACACAACGUUAGACAUCGGUUAGUGUCAGGUCCGACGUCUAUAAGGAACAUAGACGUCGGUUAGUGUCAUUUUAAACCUCUAUAUAUUCAUCUAGACGUCGGUUUUAUGCAUAGGUGGACGUCUAUAUAGAGAAAUUAGACGUCAGUGUGGGUAUAAGUAGACGUCUAGAUAGACAUCGGUGGAUAUCGUUAACCGACGUUUAUAUUGACGUCGGUUAAGAGGAUUUCCGACGUCCCAUGGACGUCACCCUUAUAGACGUCUGUUGUGUAAGUGACGUUAAAAGCCCAAAUUAACCUACGUUAAACAACGUUUCUACACUAAUGUUGGUGACAAUUGUAAAAACAUCUAGUAUAUAUUAUAUUGAUAUACAUAUGUUUAUUUCCAAUAAAUUUAUUUCAAACUGAAUUAUAUAUUUUGUAAAACUUUCAUAUUUUUUAUAAACUCUUGUCUUUCGUCUAACUUUUAUGAUUUUUCUUUAAACGUGGGAAGAUUUCAUGCAUAAAUUACAUAAAAUGAUAGAUUUCUAAAAAAUCAUAAAAUAAGUUAUGUACUUUCUAUACCACUUCAAAUAAAAAUUUCUUUUGAUUUUCACAUAACUUUUAUUAUGAUACUAUUGAAAAAUGAAAGUUAAUAAUUUUUUUUUACGACUUCAAAGUUGGUGAUCCUUAUGACGAUUUUAGCAUUGAAAUCGUUGAAAUGGACUACUUCUCUUACGACUUCAAUAGUUGUUAAAGUUGUUCACCCUAGACCGAAUUGAAAGUUUGGCCAGGAUGAAGUUAAGUUCAACUGAACUCUGUAGAGCUUAGAGUGACAAUGUUGAACCUACUAAUAACAUUGUGAAGCUCAGCUAGACAUAGUUGAACUUGGAAGGUGUCAUUCUUGACAUCGUAUGGUAAAAGACCUUUUGGAAAGAAGAUUUUUUAAGAGUAAAAAUAAUAGCUCACAUCCUAUUAACACUACUUGAAAGUUUAGUGUUAAUAUAAAGUGUCAUAUAUGAGCGGUCAUUUUUACUCUCAAAAAUAUUUUUUUUGAAAGCCCUUUUGUAUGUUAGGAAUGAAACUUUUUGAGCUCAAUUACGUUAAACCGAACUCCACAACGUUAUUGUAGAGUUCAACAUUAUCAGUUUAAGCUUUGUGGAGUCUCAUCGAGCUUAACUUUAUCUGGAUGACCUAUAUAAAACUUGUCUGAGCUUAUCAUUUCAGUCCGAACUAGGGUGGUCGACUUCACUGUUGCAGUAGUGAGGGGGUGGCCGACUUUUAUAUUGAAGUCGUCAAAAAAUAACUUUUCAACUAUGUCAAAGCGAAAAUCAUAUGAAAGAUAAUCAACUUUCUCAUUUGAAAUUAUAUAAAGGUUUCACGACUUAUCAAUUUUCAUAAUUUUCCAUAUUUAUGUAUUUUUUUUAGAGGACAAUGAUAUUUUGACAAUACUUUUUUAUAAUUUUUUUUACAACGGGACACAUGUCAUCGUUUUAUUGGUCUAUUUAAAUUUAUGUUUAAAAAAUAUUUAAAACAGACCAAUCACAAACUGUCACAUAUGUGUUGUCAAAAGAUUAUUAAAAAAAUGUUGUUAAAAUUUAUUUUUCCUUUCUUAGAUUAUGCUCAAAGCUCUAUAUUUGAUUAGAAACAAAAAUUGGAUAAGAAGCUAAUUCAACUUACUAAAGCAGGUCAUAAAUAAGAUAAGAAUACGACUCAUAUAUAAUAUAUUUUAUAUGAUCGGUGGAUGUAAAAUUUUCAAAGAUCAUUUAGAUAUUUUAAUUAGGAAAAUGAUAUUUUAACACUUUCUUUUAGAUCAUUUUAACACUGUACACGUGUCAAAAUGUGGUUCGACGAUUUCAAAUUAAAAAAAUAAACUUUGGUUUUUCUCUUCCAAAUAUACCUCUCUCUCUACUUUUUUAAUUUGAAAUCGUCCAAUCACAUUUUGACACGUGUACAGUGUCAAAAUGGUGUUAAAAUGUCAUUUUCCUUUUGAAUAUGACAGAUCACUUGUGACAUUUAUAAAAUGAUAAACAAGAUGGCUUUAAAUUAUUUUAAAAUACCUUGUGUUCAAAACUAAUGAAAUCAAACAUGCAGUGGUUAUUAAAUUGGAAUAAUAAUGGUAGUUAUCUUCUCACCUGUUUAUCUACCUAUCAGUUUCUUCAUUUAUGAACAUGGGGAAAAGAACAACACCUGUUUAUCUUCUCCUCCAUGUUCACCACCACCAAUCAAUCUUUAUAUAUAUAUCAUGAGUUGCAGAACCUUUUACCAUUAACUUUUUCUCACCAUGGAUUCUGAAAUACUCCUUAUCUUUUCCUUUCUCCUCUGCAUCAUUGUGGCACUCAAACUAGGGAGAAACCUCAACAAAAAAAGCAAGCCAUCAUCACUAAACAUACCCCCUGCACCAUGGAAGCUUCCUGUUAUAGGAAACCUGCACCAUCUUGUUUCAUCCACACCACACCGAAAACUAAGAGACUUAGCCAAAAUAUACGGACCCAUGAUGCAUCUCCAGCUAGGAGAGAUCUUCAUUAUCGUUGUUUCCUCAGCAGAGUACGCCAAAGAGAUCAUGAAAACACAUGAUGCAACCUUUGCAUCGAGACCUCAACUUCUGGCAGCAGAUAUAGCUACUUAUGGAUACACAAACAUUGCUUUUGCACCUUACGGAAGUUACUGGAAAAAGGUACGAAAAAUCUGUUCUGUCCCCAAAACGUGUCAGUUCAUUCCAACCGAUCAGAGAAGAAGAACUCAACAAUCUGGUUCAAAUUGUUAGUUCACAUGUUGGAGGGUCCCCCAUCAACCUCACUGAAGCAGUGUCCUCAUCAAUGUAUAACAUCAUUUCAAGGGCUGCUCUGGGGCAGAAGCGCACCAAAGACCACAAUGAGUUCUUCUGGCUCCAGGAGUGAAAUCAGUUGUGAAAGAAACCCUAAGGUUACACCCACCAGGAGUUCUUCUGGCUCCAAGAGAAUAUGCAGAGACAUGUGAGAUUGAUGGGUAUGAGAUACCAGUGAAAAGUAAGAUAUUGAUAAAUGCCUGAGCAAUUGGGAGAGACCCAAAGUACUGGAAUGAAGCAGAGAGGUUUUAUCCAGAGAGAUUCAUUGGCAGUUCCAUUGAUCUUAAAGGGAAUCAUUUUGAGUUCAUUCCCUUUGGUGCUGGAAGAAGAAUCUGUCCUGGCAUUUCCUUUGGCUUGCUAAAUGUUGAACUCACUCUUGCUGUUUUGUUGUUUCACUUUGAUUGGAACCUUCCUGAAGGAAUCAAAAGUGAAGACUUUGACAUGACUGAGAAAUUUGGAAUCACUGUUGGAUUAAAGAAUGACAUAUUCUUGAUACCUCUCACUGCUGGUAAGAUAUAUUUCUUUGCUAAAUCAUAUUAUCUCAUAACCAUCAUAGUCUCACUCUUAACUAAUUAAAGGUAACGUAUAUUAUCUAAUCAAGUUAAACAUUAUAAGAAAACAUUAUCUAAUGUCACUGUUGAUGUUUUUAAAGGGAAGUGAUGCAAAGAGAGUAAGGAAGUUAGCAGUGGAAGCAAAGAAGGGUGAGUGAGGAAGAAGAUUUCCACACAUAUUUGUUGAAAAGUGAAUAUGCAUCAGUGUUUCAGUUCUUCAAUAAUGAAUAAUUGGUCAGCAGAUCAAGUCUUUAAGAACUCUUACUGUAAUAUUUUUAUGUUAUGUUUGUUUUCUCAAGUAUUGAACUGUGAGUGUCCUUUCUUUUUCUCAGCAUGCUUCAUCUAAAGAACAUUAAUAAAUGUGUUAUUGCAGUUAUAAUUUUCACCUUUAUGUUUCUCUGUCUUUUAUGCAUGGCUUAUUUAGUCACUCCCAUAACGGACCCAUAACUACCAGAUUACAAAGUUUGUUUAAUUCUUGUUUUUUUAAUUAUUAUUAUAAUUAUCAUUUUUUAAAAUUUUGUUAUACUAUUUACACCUUUUUUAUUUAAUUCUUUUUUUUAUAUAAAAGUGAGUCGAUACAUAAAUUUUAUUUGGCAAAUUGAUAAUAAAAGUGUUUCAAUAACGUGAAAGAAUAGGUAAGUUCGAUGUGAAAGAAUAUGCAAGUUCUAGAAGUUGUUUGCAAGCCUUAAAUGGUUUCCAAACCGUAUUAAAGACUUGAGAAUUAUUAAAAAGCUUUUAAAAAACCAGAAAACAUAAAACAAAGAGAAGGUUGGUUUUUUGUAGUGGUAAUUACGUCUAUAUCUCUUUUCACCACUCUUAAAAGAUUUCAAUAUUUUUAAAAAGAUACAACAAAUUUUACUGUUUCUAUUUUACAACGAAUAUAAUCACUUUCAGUAUAAAAUAAAUUGACUAUGUUUAACUUCUGUGAAUUAAACAAUUAAAUAUUUUAAAUUACUUCUAAUUAUUCAAAAAUAACAUUGUUUUUUUUAUUAAGUUAAACAACUAAAUAUUUUAAACUAUAUUUGAUUAUAAAAAAUAAUAGUGUUUUUAAAACAAGUAUAGACUCAGAAGAUCUUUUAGAGAAUUUAAAUCAAUACAAAAUUCAUCUAAAAACUUGUUAUUAAUAAUUUUUUUUUAAAGAGCUAAACUACACAAGAAUAGAAGGAUAUUGACAACUUAAUAAUAUGUACAACUAUUACUCUUGAUUCUUCUCGUGAUCUUCUUUAUAUAAAAAUUUUUAAGAAAGAUUUGAUACUCAAAAACAUUAAUUUUAGGUGUGUAGGUUGGUCUUAGUCUAAAAGAGGAAAUGUGCUUGUAUGCUCAGGUCACACAGACACACACAUAUAUAUAUAUAUAUAUAUAUNNNNNNNNNNNNNNNNNNNNGUUCAAAUUAUCGGUUCACAUGUUGGAGGGUCCCCCAUCAACCUCACUGAGGCAGUGUCCUUAUCAAUGUAUAACAUCAUUUCAAGAGCUGCUCUCGGGCAGAAGCGCACCAAAGACCACGAUGAGUUCAUGUCUAUAGUCCAACGAGGAGUGCUUGGUGCAGGAGGUUUUGACAUAGGAGAGUUGUUUCCUUCUGCUACUUGGCUUCAACAUCUCACGGGUUUGAGGCCUAUGCUUGAGAAGGUGCAUCAACAAAUCGAUCGGAUACUGGAAGCCAUCAUCAAUGAACACAGAGAAGCAAGAUCCAAAGCCCAACAUGAUAAUGAAUCAGUCGAAGAUUUGGUAGAUGUUCUCCUAAACUUCCAUGAUGCUAACGACUUAACCAUUAACAAUAUCAAAGCAGUAAUCAUGGUAAGGAUUCCAUCUACUUCUAAAUUCUUUGGAAAAUUUAUAAACAUGAGGUAAAAUAAAAGUUCUAAAUUGAGUCAAGAGGAGUUCUAAAUUGAAGUCGUCAUGUGGACAACUUUUUCAUAAAAUUCUGAAAAAAUUGAUAAUUUUUUUAUAAACAUGUUGAAGGAAAAUGGUUAAGAAUGGUGAUGAUAUAUAAGAAACCCAUAACACAAACAAAGUUUUCUGAUACGAAAGAGAGAUAUUCAAGAAAUAAGGUUUUUUAGAAUAAACUGACGUCAAGUUUCACUUAAAAGGAUUGAAACUUGAAUUUAAUAAAAAAUUAAUUAAAAAAUAACAAUAACUAUGCGGUUUCAUGAAAUUUAUAUAUAUCAUGAUAUUAUUAUUUUAUUGAUUUACUUAAAUUUAUUUUUUAAAAAAAUAUUUAAAACAAAUGAAUCAUAAAUUAUUAUUAUUAAAAAAUUAUUAAAAAAACAUUUUCCAUUUAUAUAUUAUUGUGUAUCUGAACCAAAUUUUUAAAUUUUGAAACCUUGAGUACAGUGUGAUGGAUAAUUAUAAACUGAUAUGAAAUUUAUGUAUUUAUAAAAAAAAAAAAAAAGGUCAUAUUUCAAUGCAUGCAUGCAUCACUGGUCCAUGUCACAUAGAGCAGUGAUACCUUGCCACCGACAAAUUACGUUGAUUUGACACUGUUGAAUAAUAAUAUUUUGAUUAUAAUUAUAUUAUUUUUUAAUUUAAAAUCAUAAUAUAUAUAUAUAUAUAUAUAUAUAUAUAUAUAUAUAUAUUAUUAAAAGUAGUGUGAAAUGUCUUUUUCAAAAUCAGUAUCAAACUAACUUUUUCAUAUCACCAAGUAAUUAGCACCAGUAUGGCUGAUUGUACAGGGCCAUACUUGGUUUGAAUUGUAGAGAACAUUAGUUUCCAAAAUUUAUUUCAUUCAACAAUAAACACACUGAAAAAUAAAGACUUCGAAAUAGAACUAUUAUAAUAUGCACUGUUUGAUAUUUGAUAUAACAAUCUUAAUAUUUAUUUAGUUAAAUUAAAUAAAAGAGUGUAAAAUUAAACUAAAGUUUUUUUUUUUUUUUUUUUUUACAUUUUUUAUUGUCGUUUAUCUAUAUAUUACCAAUCGGAAGUUAACAUUCUUAUUAUUUUAUAAUAUAAUAAAAAUAACUGAUUUCUUGAAAAAAUACUAAUAAUUUAUUGUAUAUAACAUUUUGAUAAUCGUGUGUGUAUAUAUAUAUAUAUAUAUAUAUAUAUAUAUAUAUAUAUAUAUAUAUAUAUAUAUAUAUAUAUAUAUAUAUAGUACUCUCCAUUACACUCACUUUAUAGAAUUAAAAUAUGAAAUCCUAAAUCCAUAAAGAAGUGUGUCUUGCAUUGCAGGACAUUUUUGUAGCUGGAGUAGAGCCUGUGACAACUACCAUAAACUGGGCAAUGGCAGAGAUGAUGAGGAAUCCAAGAGUGAUGAAGAAAGCACAAGAUGAGGUGAGAGAGGUGUUCAAAGAAAAGGGAAGGGUUGAUGANNNNNNNNNNNNNNNNNNNNNNNNNNNNNNNNNNNNNNNNNNNNNNNNNNNNNNNNNNNNNNNNNNNNNNNNNNNNNNNNNNNNNNNNNNNNNNNNNNNNNNNNNNNNNNNNNNNNNNNNNNNNNNNNNNNNNNNUAUAUAUAUAUAUAUAUAUAUAUAUAAUUUGACAGUUCAACACACAAACAAAGAUUUUCCUUCAAACACCAAAACUCAUGCAAGAUCAAAGUCAAGAUUUAAUUGGGACUACAAUUAACAUAAAAACACAAAAAUAAAAACAGAUAAUUUCUACGAAUCAAAUGUAGAAAUACACAAAUUAAAAGAAGACAUAAAAAAAUACAAAAAUUAAAAACUCAAGGGAAUUGCAUUUUGGGUUUUUUAUUUCUAAUAUGACAAAAAAAUAAGAUAAAAGAGGAUAUUCAAACCAGAACCUUGCUUUGAUACCAAAUGAUACGAUCAUGUCCAAAAAAAGUACGAUCUUUUCUGAAUUUGAAUCAUCAAGGGCACAAUAAAAAUAAAUCAGAGAAGAACGUAAAAUAAGACAGAGAUGGAAAUGCCACAAUCUAGUGGAUAAGUCAAGUGAAGAUUCGCCACAAAGAUGUUAAUCUUUCAUAAGAAUUAGAGUUCUAAACAAAGAACAAAGAGAAUCCUCUCUCAAAAAUGUAAAUGCAUAUAUUAUGACUCAAACAAGCUUUUACAUAUGUAUUUAGUGCCCCUAUAUAUAGGUACAAAUGUUUAAGGCACCUAAGAAACCCUAAAAGAAAGCUCAAAGACAUCAGGUCCAAAAUAACUUGAAAAAUUAAAAAUAGAAACAAAUUGUUUGCAAUUAAAAUAAAAAUACAAUUUAUUUAAUUUCCUAAAUUGUUCUUCAAUUGUGCUCAUGAUCUUCAUGUUCUUUAAAUUCUUUUCUUCAUAAAGAUUAUAAGAUUCAAGAUCCAAGGAGACAUGUUUUGAUCUUUGACCUUGUCAUAGAUCCUUUGAAUUGCAAAUGUUCUUCUUCAAGUUCUUCUCAUAUAUGUUUCAGGAGAUAGUUCUCUAUCAACUAGAGUGAUAUGUUCUCAUAUAUCCCUUAAUUAGGAUCACUUUGAAUAAUAUGCAUGUCAUCUACUAUGUUAUUGACUUGCACUUCAAUUGUUCUUGAUAUCGGGGACGACGUGUCUAUUAUACCUAGAGAGUCAUCAUCAUGUGUUCUGAUUGUGCUUCUUCCUUCCAAGACAACUGACCAUUUACGAUUAGAACGAUCAGUAAUAUAAAAUAUUUGUUUUGCAUGAUAUGCCAUAAUAUAUAAAUGGUUCAUCUACAUAACUCACCUUGUUAAGAUCGACCAAUGUAAACUCGAACUCAUCCAUCCUAAGACCUGUAUUGACAUCAAUCCAUUUACAUUUAAAUAUUGUUACUCUAAAUGUGACAGUCAAUUUCCUAGAUGUCUUCUAUCACUCCGAAGUAACUCAUAGAUGCUAUAAUUGGAUUUUUGUCUUUUGAACUAGUAAAAAGCACACACUCGGCUUGAAUGGUAACCCCACUAUUUUGAACUCUACUUUUUUCAUCUUUUUUUUUUUGUGUAGAAACAAAAGUUGUUUAUAUAGUACCCACCAUAUGUCAUGUCAUGAUUGUUAGGUCCUCAAGCUAGCCUCAACAAAGUUUCGGAAGCAUCCCUUUGAGAGUAAACAUUUUUCUUAAACCAAGCUAAGAAUGUUUUGUUAUGUUCAUUAAGUGUCCAUUUUUCAUUCAUUUGUGGGUGUGCUAACUUUAUUUCAUCAAUGUGUUGGGACAUAUAAGGAAUGUGCAUGUUAGGUCAAGUUUUGUGCAUUUAAUAGCAAACAAUCAUUUCAACUUAGGAAUCAUGGGGGUACCACAACACUUUAGUGGGGCGACCUUCUAUUUAUUCAUUAACACUAUUCUCAUCAACCUUCUUAUUAAAUUAAGACAACCCACACAUUGGACACACCUUCAAUGCAACAAAUUUGUUUCUGUAUAAUACACAAUUAUUAGAGCAUGCAUGUAUCUUCUUAUACUCCAAGCCUAUUGGAUAAAGAACUUUUUUUUCCUUGUAGUUACCAUUAGGUAAUGUGUUUUUUUUUAAGCAUCUAGCUCAAUAAUUUCAACCAUUCUGUGAAACUUUUAUCAAUCCAUCAAUUUCUUGUUUUCAAACUAAACUAUUUCAAAGUUGCAGAUAAUCGUGUAAAGGUAGUGCGUCCUAGGUACAAUUAAUCGGACUUCAAAGAAUCAUAUAGAUGAUCUCUUCCAAAAUUUUCUUCACCAACAUCACGUAUUAUAUCCUCUAAAUGAUUGUUCAUCCAUUCUUAAACAUAUUAUGUUGUUUGUGACGUACUAGGGUUGUCUAAUACUUCUCCAUGCCAAGUCCAAAUCGUAUAAUUUUUCACUAUGUUGUAGACGAAUAAGUGAUCACGUAUUUCGUUCAAAUUUUGACGUAUUUGGUUCAAACAACGAACACAAGAACAAUAGUAUGUCCCAUACACAGCUCUCACAUGUUCUUGAGCAUAUUGCAAGAAUAUAACAACCCCUUUUCAUAGUCUUCAUUAAGACGAUGUGCAUUCAUCCAACUUUGAUCCAUAACUAUAUUGGUAACAAACUCCAUUAUUAUCAUAUUUUAAGUUCUCAAAUGGGUUAAAUAAUUUAAAUUAUCAACGCAUUAUACAUCCAAAAAUAAUUUAAAUAACUGACAAAGCAUAUGAUAAACAAAUAAAUUAUAGAAUAACCAAUACACAAUCAAGUAGAGAAAUUCUCAUUCAAUUCUCAAAGACGAAAAAUUUUAACACUUAAUUUUAGUCCAAUAUAUUUUUCUCUUAUUUUAUUACUUAAGUCACUAUCCUUUAUUUUUUUUUCUUUCUUCAUAUCUCUCGUAUCUCCACUCUAAUUUAAGUGAAUAUUUAUCAUCACUUCAUUUAAUUUAUAGUACUAAUUCAAAAAAAAAAAAAUUAAUUCAAAAACAUACACCAUAUCACCAAAAUGACAAAAACCAAAUUAUCAAAUAACAUUAACCCAAAAUCACCCAAACUAUAUAUAUUAAAAGUGUGAAAAUUAUAUAUUUUUAACAAUAAAUUUUAAUUUAUAAUAUAAAUUUAUUCGAAUGAAUACUUUUAAAAAUACAUGAUAAAAAUAACAACAAUAAGUAAUAGUAAAUAGCUUCUAUUAUUAUGUAUUAGAAAAUAGUGAUUAUAUAUAUAGCCUUGUUUUUUUAAUGUCAAAACUAUGAAAAAAAUUUAAACUUUUAUAGUCAUUGACCCUAUAAUUAUAUAAUUUUAUUAUAUUUGAUGUUGAAAAUUUGAGAAAUAAUAUAUAUAUAUAUAUAUAUAUAUAUAUAUAUGUGGUCUGUUUUACAUGAUCCCUUGUUUAAUGGUAAACAGAGGAAGGUGGGUGAUGUGUUACAGUGCGUUUUGAGAGAAACUAUAUUAAGUAUUUCUUGUGUUUAUAAUAUGUGCUAAAAAUUUGGAUUUUUUAAUCUGAGUAAUUUUAAAAUACUGAUAAACAUUAAUUUUGAUGUUUUAAAAUAUAUUAAAAAAAUUUCAAGAUAUCAACAUUAAUGUUCAAAUAGAAAAUAUACCAAAAUAUCUAAUAAAAAAUCUGAACCCGUGCUAAUCUCUAUCUAAAUUUUCAAGAAAAGUUAAUACUACUCAAUUAUCAUGUGUGAAUGAAGUUCAUUACAAAAUAUAUCAGUAUCAGUAUCAGACCACUUAAUUGUUUCAUCUGUCUUUUAGAGAACAUUCAGAGGUGUAAGAGGAAAAGAUGAUAAACAUUUUGCACUAAGGGAGGACGGUGUGAUGGUGGAAGAGAUCAUCUGGGGUUGUUGUUCUGUUUUUAGUUCAUCAAUGGAGAUGAUAAACCCACAAAAAAAUCAGAGUAUAUAAAUAAUUUAUAUAAAAAGAGAGGAAAAUAUAUUUGACCAAUUAUGAAUAUGUGGGGAACAUGUGCUUACUACAUUGAUGGUAAUAACUCUAUUAACUUUAUAGUCACUCAAAGUUAGGUAAAUCUUGUUGCUUCAGUUUUGAAGACAUUAAGUUCAUGCUUCUUGUGUCUCUACGUAGGUUGUUGAGUAUUGUGGUGUGAAUGUAAGGUGUAGUGUUACUGAUCUUAUUUGAAAGAAGCAAAAUAUCGUUCGAAAGGCAAAGAUUGCUAUGUGAGUAUUGUGUUUAAGAUUGUUUAUUUGGUAAUUAUUUUGAAAACCCUAACAGGUCCAUGAUUGCUAUUAAUAUUUGAGUUCAUUUACUGCUAAUCGUAACACCAAGCAAAAUAAAAUAUUUUCAUCGAAUAUGCAUGAUGGAUAAUAUAUCUACUGAUACAAUAGACUGCAUUAAUUUACAUUUAAGCUAAUAAAGCUUUGACAUGUUUUUUUCACAAAAAUCAGUGUUUUCUAACAUGUUUUUAUGGAAUCUUUGGAUAGGUACAAGCUUUUAUAUAUCGCUGAACUCAAGGAUAGGUAGAGUUGAAGCAAUGCAAUUAUUAAGUAAUGAUUGGGAAAUACAUUUGGAAGCUUGUCGAACCAGUCUUGUGAUAUGUUGCAUUAAAUUGAAAAAUAUAUUUGGAAGCUUAUAGAACCAGUCUUGUGAUAUGUUGUUGUCUGUGCUGGAAAUGAGAAAUCAGCUUAAGCUCAACCAAAGCAACCUAUACUAACUUGUUAAAAGGAGAUGAGACAUUGAAGUACUAUUAGUAUAUUAGAGAAGUCUAGGUACUUUAGGUUUUAUUUAUUUAUCUUUGGAAAUCUUUGACUUGUACAUAGAUAUUUGGAUUUUGUAAGAUGUUAAAUCCUUUAUGUAUGAAUAUUGUUGUAUGUUGAUAUUAUUUGAUUAAUGAUUAUUUCUUAAAUAUUAUAUAUAAAUUCUUUAUUUCACAAUGUUUACUUUGAUUAAUGGUUUUACAUGUAUGUGGGGUUCUUUGUAUCAGAUUUGACAUUGCAAUCUGCUUACCUAGUUACAUAAAGAUAAAUUCGUAUGUAAUCUGUCUAACUAGUUACAUACGACUUUUUCUAUAUGUAAAUUACAUACGGAUUUUACAUACGGAUUUAUCUGUAUGUAAUUUACAUACGUAUUUAUCUGUAUGUAAUUUACAUACUGAUUUAUCUGUAUGUAGUUUACAUACAGAUUUUUUUGUAAUUUACAUACAAAAUAAUCUAUAAGUAACUUAGCUACGACCAUUUUACAUAUGGAUUUUAGAAUGUAAGUAAUCUAUAUGUAACACUACUUUACAUAUGAAUUUUUUAGCUUACAUACGGAUUUUAGCUAUAUCUGUAAAGUUCUGCAGCACCCUCUUCUCUCAAUAUUUUUAGGAAUGCAUCUAGUAGACCAUCAAGCACUUGACAAAGAACUCUAGUAUCUUACUCAAAGAGUGAACAAAUAAUGUGAAAAAUGUUACGAGAUCUUAAUCUUGAUCCAAGAGGCCAAAGAAAAUAAAAAACUCUAAACAAAACUUCAAGGAAUUUUUCAAAAGGAGACAAAAUAAGAAAAUUAGAAAAUUCAUAGGACCACAAAAAAAGAGUUAAAUGAAACAAUGCGAAGACUCUAAAAAAGACAAAAUAUAAUUUAAUAGUGCAAGAUGUUAAUUUGUGUUGAACUCUACAAUUUUUUUCUUUUACUCUUGGAUUCGUACUUUCUCUUUUUUUUAAUAUAUAUUUGUUUUUUUUACUUGGAUCCAAUAUAUAUAUAUAUAUAUAUAUAUAUAUAUAUAUAUAUAUAUAUAUAUAUAUAUAUAUAUAANAACAACAACAAACAAGUUCAAAAAAAAAAUAACAAACAAGUUAUCAACAAAUAAGUUCUUCAAUGAAAAUGAAAACGAAAACGAAAAGUAACCUUUAAAAGGUAGGUUCAUCAGAAUAAAGUGUUGCCACCAGUGAGAGAGAAAACAUAAUGCGCCUAUGAAGGACAAGAACAUGAAAAUAAUCGGUGAAAAUAAACGAAAAUCAUACUAAAGUAGUUCAUUAACAUGCAUUUGUAUCAAAUGAAAGAAAGAUUACAUGUGAUGGUCGUCAAAGUUCGUUCCAAAAAAGUUUGAGUAAAGAAAAGGGUUUCGCGCACUAAGACAAAGUGAAUGAAUUUUCAAUCUUCCGCUAAAUUUUUUUUUAAUUCACUAACCUUUUAACGUCUAACGCUGGGGCAUUCGACGUUUUAUAUCAUUUUACGUCGAAUUACAAUUUUAAACGACGUUUAAUAAUUGCAUUUAUUUACAAGAAUGUCACCGGUCAUAUUUAGUGUUGGUUAUUGAGUGAUUCGACACUAUGUGUGCCGUUAUACGCAAUUUUUCCACUAGUAUUCAAAUUCCAUUUUAUUAAUACUCAUUUUCUACAUCUUCUACAUGUUUACUCCAAUCAUUCAUUAUUUCACUUUUAUAAGAAAACCUAUUAUUUAAAACAUAAUAUGCACACCUUUCAGUUAUAAAUAAAUUAGUUUCAUUGUAUCUAUUUUUGUUGUGAAAAGAAUGUUGUUGUCGAAAGAAUCUUGUUGUUGUUGGUAAUUUGAAUCUAUUUAGAAUAGGAUAGAACAUAUUUUUAAGUUUGUUACAAAAAGAUAUCAAUGUAAAAUAUUAAAUUAAGUCUCUUAAAAAGUAAGAGAUGUAAAAAUAAAUGUAAUAACUAACUUUUAUUUAUCAAAUUAUCACAAUUUUUAAGUUAAGUUUUUUUUAACAAACUUAAAUUCCCAUAUUUAAUAAUUGUUUAUAUGAAUGGUGGAUGUAAAAUUUGUGUAGAUCCUUUAGAUAUUUUAAUUAUACUUAUGAAUAUCACUUGUCACAUGAAUGAUAGACUGGCUUUAAAAUAUUUUAAAACACCUUGGUCUUCAAAACUAAUGAAAUAAAAAAUUCAGUCGUUAUUAAAUUGGAACAGUAAUGGUGGUUGAUCUUAUCACCUGUUCUGUUUAUCUACCUAUCAGUUACUUCAUUUAUGAACAUGGGGAAAAGAACAACAUGGGAAAAGAACCUGGCUUGGAUUCUCCUCCAUGUUCACCACCAAUCAAUCUUUAUAUAUAUAUAUCAUGAGUUGCAGAACCUUUUAUCAUUAACUUUUUCUCACCAUGGAUUCUGAAAUACUCCUUAUCUUUUCCUUUCUCCUCUGCAUCAUUGUGGCACUCAAACUAGGGAGAAACCUCAACAAAAAAAGCAAGCCAUCAUCACUAAACAUACCCCCUGCACCAUGGAAGCUUCCUGUUAUAGGAAACCUGCACCAUCUUGUUUCAUCCACACCACACCGAAAACUAAGAGACUUAGCCAAAAUAUACGGACCCAUGAUGCAUCUCCAGCUAGGAGAGAUCUUCAUAAUCGUUGUUUCCUCAGCAGAGUAUGCCAAAGAGAUCAUGAAAACACAUGAUGCAACCUUUGCAUCGAGACCUAAACUUCUGGCAGCAGAUAUAGCCUCUUAUGGAUACACAAACAUUGCUUUUGCACCUUACGGAAGUUACUGGAAAAAGGUACGAAGAAUCUGCAACAUGGAGCUUCUGUCCCCAAAACGUGUCAGUUCAUUCCAACCGAUUAGAGAAGAAGAACUCAGCAAUCUGGUUCAAAUUAUCGGUUCACAUGUUGGAGGGUCCCCCAUCAACCUCACUGAGGCAGUGUCCUUAUCAAUGUAUAACAUCAUUUCAAGAGCUGCUCUGGGGCAGAAGCGCACCAAAGACCACCAUGAGUUCAUGUCGAUAGUCCAACAUGCAGUGCUUGGUGCAGGAGGUUUUGACAUAGGAGAGUUGUUUCCUUCUGCUACAUGGCUUCAACAUCUCACUGGUUUGAGGCCUAUGCUUGAGAAGGUGAAUAAACAAAUCGAUCGGAUACUGGAAGCCAUAAUCAAUGAACACAGAGAAGCAAGAUCCAAAGCCCAACAUGGCCAUGAAUCAAACGAAGAUUUGGUAGAUGUUCUCCUAAACUUCCAUGAUGCUAAUGACAGUAACCAUGAAGUUUGCUUAACCAUUAACAAUAUCAAAGCAGUAAUCACGGU